CUGUGCCUCCGCUGUCAGAGCUUUAUAAAGCUCUGGUUCUCGCGGGGGGUGGGGGUUCAGGGGCAGUCCUCCUAGGUGACAAAUGUUGCCAAAUGAUCAUCGUUGACUUUUUAAAUAUCUUGACUAAAACUGAAGGAGAAAAUGACAGACAACCUGGCGCUUACAGAUUUCUCACCUCCUGCAGCGCUGCACUGUUUGGACAAGAGCGGAGCUUCACACCAAACUGCUCAUCAGUGACAGCAGCAACAGGCUGCAAGGAGGAGGCUGUUUAUUCACUCUCUUUUGCCCAUUUAAGUUUUUUUUUCUCUUUUUUUGUUUGCUUUUAAACCUGGAUGUGAAACGAUUUAGACCUGCUCUCUAUAUUGUAUAUUGUCGCAGCUGACAAAAGUGGUUUUCAAAUCAAAAACACACAACACGUGCAACUCAAAAGUGCGCAGAUACUUUAAUUUCAAAUUUCUAUUUAUGUUCCUGUAAUAUUUUUAUUUUCAGAACAUGGAUUACAAGAUGCUCUUUAGUGAAAUACCGACCCCUCUGUCUCCUAAUGGCCCUCUCGAGAGAUAAACAAAGUUGUUAGGGGGUCAGCAGGAGCCACGUGAUGCCCGCUGAGAGCAAGAGGGUAACAAACUGGCGCAAAAGGCACAAAUGGACCUGAUAGUAUACUUAGUAAUAGGAACUGUAUCAUAGAGAUACCUCCUGAACAAAUACACACUCCUUAUGUCAAAUGAUCUGCUAAUCAAAAUGGCUCUCUGUGCCACCAUCUCUGAGUGGACACAAAGGAUUUGUUUUUAAAGUUUACAGACACUGCACUAUUGAAUUUUAUUAAAGGGAUAUCAUUGAAAAAUAAGGGACAAUAUGUUAUGAUAUGGCACAGGACAAGACUCAACCCCGAUGCAGACCAAGGUAGCAAUGAAACAACAGAUCUUUAACAGAAAUAAAUAAAUAUAUAUAUAUAUAUAUAUAUAUAUAUAUAUAUAUAUAUAUAAAAUCAACAUCAUGCUUGGGCUAAGAAACACAAGGAAUGGACACUAGACCACCAGGAAAUCUGCACCUUGGUCUGAUGAGUCCAAAUUAGAGAUUUUUGGUUCCACUGCCAUGUCUUUGUGAGUCACAAUGUUGGUGAUUUAUUCAAAAUUCAAGGCACACUUAACCAGCAUGGAUACCACAGCAUUCUGCAGCGACAUGCCAUCCCAUCGGUUCCCAUUGUUUUUCAACAGGACAACAACAAACACACCUCCAGGCUACAUAAGGGCUUUUUGACCAAGGAGGAGAGUGAUGGAGUGCUGCAACACAAAAAUCGAGGAAUGACAAUAACUUUAUGGAUAUUUGGCGACCUCUGAUAGCAGCGUGAUCUCACCAGAUGGCGUAUAAAUAGCACGCCACUUUUAAGGACAUUCUGUGUCUCAUGUCUAUGCAUUUUAAGCUUUUCACGUGUCAUUUAAUGCUGUUUAGCCCCCACAGGCCACAAUUGGUAAGAAGUCAUGUGUCAUACUGCUGCACUGCCUCCACAAGAAGCACCAAGCUUCUUUCUCUUUAAAUUACACUGUUGAAGUUGUGUAUUUUGAGAAAAUAUUAGGUAUUCCUAGCUAACUGUCACAUUUCAGACAGGUAUUUGUAAUUAAAUUUAAUUAAGAAUCA